GACAGAGGGUGCAAACGUUGUUCGGAAUUACUGGGCGUAAAGCGCGUGUAGGCGGCUUUGCAAGUCGGAUGUGAAAUCCCACGGCUCAACCGUGGAAGUGCAUUCGAAACUGCAAGGCUAGAGUCCUGGAGAGGAAGGUGGAAUGCUUGGUGUAGAGGUGAAAUUCGUAGAUAUCAAGCAGAACACCUGCGGCGAAGGCGGCCUUCUGGACGAUGACUGACGCUGAGACACGAAAGCGUGGGGAGCAAACAGG
rnacentral:rRNA from 1 species